rnacentral:tRNA from 1 species
AUCCAGUUGGUAGAGCAUGAUCCGCGCCUUGCCAAGGCUGGGGGCGCGAGUUCGAGUCUCGUUUCCCGCUCCA